rnacentral:lncRNA from 1 species
UUAGGAAACACUUCUUACAAAGAGGGGGAAGUGAGAGAGAUUUUGAUGGAUGGGAGAAUUAGAGGCAGAGAGGUGGAGAGGACAAGAUCCAGGCAAGAAGGAAACUGAUCUUCGUGUAUGGUACCCAUCCUUGGCACCCCUAUACCUGAGCCUGCCCUCAUCUGACCCUCUCUUCUUCACCAGCCCCAUCGCAAGUAUACCCAGCUUUAUCCUCCACAUCAGGGGCUGAG